CAGGAGGACUAAUUCCUGUCCUCUCUUUAUUGCCAUGGGAUUCGCUUUCAAUCCUCACUCUUCAGAGGCUUUCUCCAUAUUUACGUGCUUGUAACUCUGGCAUGACCUUUGCUCCAGUCUCUACCAGAGGGCGGCGCCUGGAUUGAAGUGGAAAAGCCCUGUUUUCCAGCCAUGACCCAGGGAGCAAGCACUGACUCCUCAGGGGAACAGGAGACCUGCCAACUAGGACCCUGGGAGCCCCCAUGCUGGCAGUGCCCUGGGUCAUCUCAGGCUCAUCAACAAAUCCUGGGGGGAGAGCGGGGUUGGAGGGCGAAGAAGCCCAGGAGAGUUCCUGGCUCAGAACCCCUCUCUGAGGCUCCCGAUACAGAGCCCAGGCCCCACACCCAGAGCCUCUGAGUAUUUUUGUUUAUUGUAUGUAAAAUACUAGUGUAUUUUUGUUUAAGUCUCACAGGUAAACAGGUUCUCUCAUACUUUGCCAAGGGAAAUGUAAUCUGUGCAAUUUGGCAAUAACUAUCAGAAUUUUAAAAGCUUAUGCCCUUUGACCUAGUAAUUUCACUUCUAAGAAUUUCCCCUGCAGAGAUAUGUAUAUCUUGUAUGAAAUGAAGAGGCUACGAAGACAGGCAACGCCGCAGUGUUUAUAAUAGCAAAGACCAGACACAGCCCACAUGUCUAAAGGUUCUGAUUUUUAAAACUGUAGUAUAUCUGUACAAUGAGCACUCCACAUCCUUUAAGAAUGAGGAAGGGCUGUGUGAACUGAAAUGGAACUAUCUCUAAGAUUUAUUAAGUUAAAAAAAUUCAAGAGUAGCACAGUGUGUAGGGUAUGCCAUCAUUUGUAUGAUAUAAGGUCGUAUAUCUGCCAUCUCAAAUGAGGAACAGUUGUUGCCUCUGGGAAGGGAAUUGGAUGGCUAGGAAUGAGGUAGGAAAGAGGUUUGCUUUUCAGAACAUUUUAUACUAUUUAAGUUUUGUAACAAGUGCAUCUAUAUUGACUUAAAAGAUAAAAAAUGAAAAGGGAAGGCUCCACUAGUGAUUCUGAUGCUCACAAAGAUUAAGAACCAAUGCGAAUGAGGAACUCAUGAGACCGCCCAGGAGACAGUGAACAUAUCUCUUCAAAUAUCAAAAACCUUUCAGCAGAGGGUGAGAACACGUGCCUGGGGUAAGCAUGGGUGGGCAUGAGCUGGGUACAGAGGUGAUUCCCAGGGACAUACAACUACCUUGCCCUCCUGGGAUCAGGUCUUCCUCCCACCUUAGCCUCCCAUAUUGUUGGGACCACAGGCAUGCACCACCACACCUGGUUAAUUUUUUUUUUUUUUUUUUUGUAGCGACACAGUCUCGCCAUGUUGCCUAGGCUGGUGUCGAACUCCUGGGCUCAAGCAACCCUUCUGCCUCGGCCUUCCAAAGUGCUGAGAUUACAGGCAUGAGCCACUGCACCCAGCCUGACAGUAGCUUUUAAUCUCUGGACUCUCAUCACUGUUUGGACUGUGAGCUGUGGUUCUAGCUCUUGGAUCUGAUGGGCAUCUUCCCUCAAAUAUGUCAGUUUCUCUCUCCAGGUCCCUUGCUUUGUCUUCCUUUUUGCCUCCUCGGGCCUGAUACCUUUCUCUGGGCUUCUCUAUUCUGCCCCGAGCUGCCUGGUUUUGCGAAUAAUGUCACAUCCAGAUGUCAGCAGCCCUGAUGUCCAUGUGACAAUGCUCCCUUGGUGUCCCAGUGACAGAUUUUCCCAUGCUUCACCCUCUCUCUUUUUUAUUUUUUUUUCUGUACACAGCUCUCAGUCAAGCCCCUUGAGCUGCCUCCAACUGUUUGCUCAUGUCUGUUCCCAGCAAAAUUUUCCUCUUUUAGCACAAUCUUCCUUAACUUACUAGUUUUUUGAAACAGAGCCUAUUAGUCUUCACAACGCUACCUUUCUGAUCUCAGAGUUCAUCAAAAAGCUUUUCCUCCCAUCAUGCCUGCCUCCCUUUCUUCAGGUCCGUUAGACUCCACCGUGGCCUGUGUGGGAAGCAAGUCUCUCCCAGGGCACACAUGAACAGACUUCAUGCCCACAUUCACAGUGAACAGUGGCUUCUGCCUUCCAGAUGGGCUUACCCUAAAUCAACACAUAUUCCUAGGAUGUGGGAACAUAUGCAAUACUUAAAUGCACAGGCUCUGGGUUCAGACUCCCUAGGGUUAAAUUCUCCCUGUGCCGGCUAGCUGCAUGAUUAGAUUUGUGAUCUUGACAAAGUUACCUAACGUCUCUGGGCCUCACUUUUCUCAUCUGCAAAAUAGGGAAAAUAGCAACACUUCUCCAUAGGGGUGUGGUGAGGAUAAAGAGUAGAUGUAAAUAAAGUGUUGAAUGUAGAGCCUGGCACAUAUCAAGCUCUUAAAAAGCAAUGGCCAUUUUGUUAUUUUUACUGCAACGACAACUGCAGUUAUUAUCUGACUUCAGAGCUCUCUUUUUAAAAACAGUAUUCCCUGGUUUUACACCCAGGUGCUAAUACUAUUCUAUGAAGCUAAUGUAUAGAGACCAUAUCUUUUUAACAAACGUGUAUAUAUGAGUCAUUUCCGGCACAUUUGAUACACAUCAUCUCGUUUGGUCCUUAAAACAAGCCUAGGCCAUAAGCAGGGUAAGUGUUACCACUUUGCUGUUCCUGUUUUACAGAGGCUUAGACACAUUGAGAAGCUUUUCCAUAGUCACUUAACAAGUGAUGGGUGAAGCCAAAUCAAGCCUUUAGAUCUCCAAGCUCUUUCCAUUAAACCAUAUAAAUCAGGGGUUGGCAAACUUUUUCUGCAAAGGGGACAGAUAGUAAAUAGUUUAAGCCUUAUGGGCCACAUGCUGUGUCUGUUUCAUAUUCUGCUCCUUUUUUAUUUUUAUUUUUUUUAAGAAAAGACACCCUUUAAACAUAUAAAAACCAUUCUGAGCAACAGGCUGGUGCUAAAAACAGGUCAUGGUAACCAUUGGCUCUAGGGUUGUAGUUUACUGUUGACAUAGAUUGUAUGCUGAUAAGCCAAAAUACAAACCUAAUGAAACUGACAUACUUAAGGAACUUUACUCUUUGUUAGCAAUCAUUGUUAAUAUUUAUUGAAUGGUUACUACGUGGGAAAUGCUGUUCCAAGUGUGAUAGAUAUAUUAACUUACUUAAUCCUCACACCCACUCUAAUUUCAUAAGUACUAUUGUCAGACUCAUUUUACAGACAGGAAAAGCAAGGCAUAGAGAAGGUAAGUAACUUUUCCAAGGUCACAUGGCUAUUAAGUAGCAGAGCUGUGAUUCAAAUAUAAGCAGUUUGGCACCAGACCCUGUGCACUUAACCGCUUGCAUCUCGGUUGGGAGCACUGACUGGUUCAGCUAUUGGGAGGGAAGAAAGGGGAUGGGGAAGCCACAUAACCCCUAGGAGAUUCUGUAAUAAAUAUGCUUCAGAGCCAUUCACCUUGAAGCUGAGGAGGCAUGGAAGCAGGCCACCUGUGUUCUGUACAGCAUCACCAGGCUGGAAAUCUGCCAUGGCUUUCCUUCACGCCAUUACAACAGAGGAUACAGAUGAGGCUGCAGAGGCAUCUUGAUUUGAGAAAAGCAUUUGACUGGAUCUCAUUAAAUUUUAAUCAUAAACUGAAUUCAAAAUAAAUUGAAAACUGGUUGACAGAGCACCAACAAAGGGUGAUGAUAAAUGGUGAUGCAUCUAGAGGGGAGCUAUCUUCCAGGGGACAACUCUAAGGCAAGGACGGAUGGGAUUUAAUGAAGGUGUUAUGUCCCCAGAAGAAGACAAAUAGCACAGCAAGGAACAGAGGAAGGACAGGAGUGAGCAGCCUGAGUAAUUAAUAAACCAUAUUAACAGCUCCUCCAUAAUCAGGCCUUGGUGAUCACAACUGCUUGGAUUUUUUCUUAAGCUUUCUUUGAGUCAGGAAUAGGUUUGAAGCAUCCUAGAGACACACAGCAUGAAUAUUUCAGGUGGACAUUAAAAAGAAAUCUAUAAAUUUACAGCUGGGAGGAUCCUGAGAUCUACUUCGGAUCAGAAACUUUCAAUUACAAGAUUCCCAAGGCCUUACUUCAUUCCCCAGAGAGUAAUCUUUUUAGUAAAUGUCCAAAAGUCAUGGAUUUAAAAAAAAAAUCUUUAAACUCAUUAAUGUCCUUUGUUUCCUGCCCAAAUGCAUGCAAACUUUCAUAACACUGGUUUGCUGAGUGGAAGGUUGGUUUUGAGUGAACUGUUUGGCUCAGAUUCAAACUCCAAUGAACAAAUACUUCCAAGUUUACUUGCUGAAUUUCCCAUACAGAGAAGUUCUUCCACUGGGCUUGCCAGAGGAUUUGAAACAGUGGUGAGCCCUGGAAGGAAGGGAAUAUUUACUGGCCCUUGGACAUAAACCCAGCACAGUAAGACUCACAUCAGGCUGAAGGCAGUGCAGUAUGAACCGACCUGAUUUGAGGAAGUUUGCUCCGGGACUCCUCUGAGCUACUAAAUGAGGAGGAGAAGGACUAAUGGGAACACACUGACUCCAUCACAUUAGAAGUUAUAAUAAACAUUUAGAGAACA
rnacentral:lncRNA from 1 species